UAGACUGUUUUACCUUACAAAUAGGUUUGGAGAAGUUGAGAGAUGGUAUCUUUUUGGUGUUUUUUCAGUUUUGCCCUUUUCUUUUUUUUUUUUUCCCCACUUUUCCCAUUUAUAUGCUAUUGGAAUUUCACUGUAGGUGUAUUGGAACUGAAUUCCUUACCUGAGUGGUUCUGAAUAUCAGGUGCUCUCAUGACUAUGUGAAGCCAUAGAUAGCUGGCCAAGUGUAUCUAUUCUAAAACUUAUUCAUAACUAUCUGCUGAACAGCUGAUAUUUUAUUGGAUUCACUCAUUUGGAUUCUAGUGCCAAGUACUUCUCCAAGAAUUUCUCAGUUUUCUGAAACCCUUUAAAAAUAGUCUAUCUUCUGUAAGCACAUUGGAUUUAGGGCCCUCAUUCAAGUUCCGUUUACAAAGCGUUCCUCAGCCAGUGUCAAAUUAGUAGAUUUAGCAUCCUCCAUUUUUGAAUGGGUGGCCUUUCUUACGUGGUCUGAUUUUCUUUUAAGCAUGUUAACAGUAGGUUGAGCAGUCUAGCAUCUUGAGUGGACUGGGUUUUUUUGAGGGUUUGUUUGUUUUGUGUUGCUUUAGAAUCAUAGAAUAGUUAGGAGUAAAAAAAAUUGUGCAAGAGUUGAUUUUAAAAGAUUUGCCUAUUAGAAAAAAAUAUCCUAAACUGCAUUCUGUUCAUCAGUGGUCUGGUCAUGCCAAAGUGAAUCGACAUUUGGAGCUGAAAUAUUCAAAUACCAAGUAGUUCAGAUUUUUGAUAUGUAAAAGCUGGCCAUUAAGCCAAGAGAUGACUAUGUGAGUAUUGACCUUGUAAAUAAGCUAAUACAAAGUAAUGCGCUCAAAAUCUGAGCCCCUCUUGUGCCAUUGGAUAUCGUGUUGUAUUACCCCUACAGCUGUACAAAGCCUGACAGAGAUACACUGCACAGACUCUAUCUUUCAUGGUGGGAAAAUGAACACGUUUGUGGUCUGUGAGAGGGAGUGGUUCAAAAAGGAUUCUGUACUAUUGGCCUGGAACAUUGUCUCAUAAAGGUUGAGCAUGCAAAAAUGAGCAGAACGUUAUUAAACUUACAAAAGUAA